GUAAUUGAGGACUUGAGGGCACCUGCCUACAUGAAGAUGAGUGAUAAACAUAUUGCUUUGCUGCCAAAUAUCAGUCAUGAUGAAUGGCCUGCUCAAGGUGCUGUUUUCAGAAAACAGGCUGUUCCUCAUGGUCAGGCCUGGAUUGCUGUCAUCUUCGCGAAGGCCACUGGGCCCAAACACGUGCAUCAGCUGACAAGUGUUCCACCUCUGCAUAAGGACAGCCAGCCCUCAUUCCUUUUGGUACAUGAAUCCAGGGCUGACUUAAUUGAAGUGGUCAGUGUUAGGACCGAUGUGAACACACACUGGCGUUCAUGAAGGUCCAUGGAACGAGCCGACUAAUGGAAGACCAGCUGGCUAGAUUCUUCAUAAAAUAAGGGUACAUGUCAGGAGGAGAGAAGCUCUCUCUAAAGAGAUCACCGCAGGCUGGCGUAGCUCCCUUCAUCUCUCAGACAAACCAUCUAUCAGCUGUAGCUGUUCUUCAUGGAUCCCUUCUGCCUUGAUAUACACAUGGGUGAGUCUCAAAGGCUGCGAUAUGUUAGAUUGUUUUUCAAUGGGCUUUUUAUUGCACUUAAUUAUCCUGCCUACAGCGUUCAGAGCAUAAAGGAAUAUUCCCAGCCCGGGAGUUAAGCACAGUUGACAGCAUUUUGUGGUUUGAUGUUGAUUACCACAAAAAUUAAUUUUGACUCCUUUAAAAAAAAAAAAAAAAAGAAAAAAAAAAAGACACAAAUUUGAGUUACAGUGGAGGUAAAAGGGCCCAAUCCUUAAACGUUAAACACUUUUACAACUAUUAUUGCUAUGGCAACAGAUCUGCAAACCUUAAAACUGCUGUAAAAAUGAUUUAAACAGCUUUACAACUCAAGUUUUAACAAAAUAAUUAAUGCUUUUUUUAAAAUUAUAAGCUUCACAUUUCUGCUUUUAAAUGAUCCAAAGGUUGGCCCCAUUCACUUUCACUGUGUCUUACUGUAACCUU